rnacentral:rRNA from 1 species
CCUACGGGGGGCAGCAGUGGGGAAUAUUGCACAAUGGGGGAAACCCUGAUGCAGCGACGCCGCGUGAGUGAAGAAGUCAUUCGUUAUGUAAAGCUCUAUCCGCAGGGAAGAAAAUGACGGUACUUGAGUAAGAAGCAGCGGCUAAUUACUGGCCAGCAGCCGCGGCAAUACGUAGGGGGCAAGCGUUAUCCGGAUUUACUGGGGGUAAAGGGAGCGUAGGCGGCAGUGCAAGUCUGGAGUGAAAGGCGGGGGCUCAACCCCCGGACUGCCUUGGAAACUGUAGGGCUGGAGUGCAGGAGAGGUAAGUGGAAUUCCUAGUGUAGCGGUGAAAUGCGUAGAUAUUAGGAGGAACACCAGUGGCGAAGGCGGCUUACUGGACUGUAACUGACGUUGAGGCUCGAAAGCGUGGGGAGCAAACAGGAUUAGAUACCCCUGUAGUC